rnacentral:rRNA from 1 species
UACAGAGGGUGCGAGCGUUAAUCGGAUUUACUGGGCGUAAAGGGCGCGUAGGCGGUUGGAUGUGAGUGGUGUGAAAGCCCCGGGCUUAACCUGGGAAGCGCAUCGCAGACUAUCUGACUGGAGUAGAUGAGAGGGUGGCGGAAUUUCCGGUGUAGCGGUGAAAUGCGUAGAGAUCGGAAGGAACGUCGAUGGCGAAGGCAGCCACCUGGCAUCAUACUGACGCUGAAGCGCGAAAGCGUGGGGAUCGAACAGG